GAAUUUAAUCAAAAUUAUUAAUAAAUAAUAUUGAUAUUUUUAUUGAAUUAAAUUUUUAAUUAUAUUUUUGAAUUAUAAUUUUAUUAUUUUUAUUUAAUAUUUUUAAAAUAUUAUAUAUUUUAAAUUUAAAUUUGUUGUUUUAUAUUUAGUUAAAUAUUUAUAAAUUAGUAAUUGAUUUAUUUUUAAUUUAAAAUUUUUAUUAAGAGUGAUACUACUACGGGUAUGGCUAUGCACAGCA
rnacentral:rRNA from 1 species